rnacentral:RNase_P_RNA from 1 species
UAAAUUUCGGGUAAUUGCGGUCUAUUAAGUUAGGCUGAGGAAAGUCCAUGCUUGCACAAGCUGAGAUGCUUGUAGUGUUCGUGCUUGGUGAAAAAAUAAGCCAAGGUACCUUCGGGUAACGGCGGAUAAAAUGACUAAGGCUUCGGCUAUGUCAAAGUAAUCUGUAAAGUGCCACAGAGACGAUACAAUAUUGGAAACGGUAUUGCUGGAACGCGGUAAACCCCACGAGUAGGCAACCCAAACUUUGGUAGGGGCGCUUCAUGACGGAAAUGAACAAAUCAUGGGGGCAGAUAAUAUCUGGAGAUAGAUGAUUACCACUGAUUUCAUCGCCUGAGAUGGAUGACGUACAAAACAUGGCUUAUAGAAAUU